rnacentral:rRNA from 1 species
AGAGUUUGAUCCUGGCUCAGGAUGAACGCUGGCGGCGUGCCUAAUACAUGCAAGUCGAGCGAACGGACGAGAAGCUUGCUUCUCUGAUGUUAGCGGCGGACGGGUGAGUAACACGUGGAUAACCUACCUAUAAGACUGGGAUAACUUCGGGAAACCGGAGCUAAUACCGGAUAAUAUUUUGAACCGCAUGGUUCAAAAGUGAAAGACGGUCUUGCUGUCACUUAUAGAUGGAUCCGCGCUGCAUUAGCUAGUUGGUAAGGUAACGGCUUACCAAGGCAACGAUGCAUAGCCGACCUGAGAGGGUGAUCGGCCACACUGGAACUGAGACACGGUCCAGACUCCUACGGGAGGCAGCAGUAGGGAAUCUUCCGCAAUGGGCGAAAGCCUGACGGAGCAACGCCGCGUGAGUGAUGAAGGUCUUCGGAUCGUAAAACUCUGUUAUUAGGGAAGAACAUAUGUGUAAGUAACUGUGCACAUCUUGACGGUACCUAAUCAGAAAGCCACGGCUAACUACGUGCCAGCAGCCGCGGUAAUACGUAGGUGGCAAGCGUUAUCCGGAAUUAUUGGGCGUAAAGCGCGCGUAGGCGGUUUUUUAAGUCUGAUGUGAAAGCCCACGGCUCAACCGUGGAGGGUCAUUGGAAACUGGAAAACUUGAGUGCAGAAGAGGAAAGUGGAAUUCCAUGUGUAGCGGUGAAAUGCGCAGAGAUAUGGAGGAACACCAGUGGCGAAGGCGACUUUCUGGUCUGUAACUGACGCUGAUGUGCGAAAGCGUGGGGAUCAAACAGGAUUAGAUACCCUGGUAGUCCACGCCGUAAACGAUGAGUGCUAAGUGUUAGGGGGUUUCCGCCCCUUAGUGCUGCAGCUAACGCAUUAAGCACUCCGCCUGGGGAGUACGACCGCAAGGUUGAAACUCAAAGGAAUUGACGGGGACCCGCACAAGCGGUGGAGCAUGUGGUUUAAUUCGAAGCAACGCGAAGAACCUUACCAAAUCUUGACAUCCUUUGACAACUCUAGAGAUAGAGCCUUCCCCUUCGGGGGACAAAGUGACAGGUGGUGCAUGGUUGUCGUCAGCUCGUGUCGUGAGAUGUUGGGUUAAGUCCCGCAACGAGCGCAACCCUUAAGCUUAGUUGCCAUCAUUAAGUUGGGCACUCUAAGUUGACUGCCGGUGACAAACCGGAGGAGGUGGGGAUGACGUCAAAUCAUCAUGCCCCUUAUGAUUUGGGCUACACACGUGCUACAAUGGACAAUACAAAGGGCAGCGAAACCGCGAGGUCAAGCAAAUCCCAUAAAGUUGUUCUCAGUUCGGAUUGUAGUCUGCAACUCGACUACAUGAAGCUGGAAUCGCUAGUAAUCGUAGAUCAGCAUGCUACGGUGAAUACGUUCCCGGGUCUUGUACACACCGCCCGUCACACCACGAGAGUUUGUAACACCCGAAGCCGGUGGAGUAACCUUUUAGGAGCUAGCCGUCGAAGGUGGGACAAAUGAUUGGGGUGAAGUCGUAACAAGGUAGCCGUAUCGGAAGGUGCGGCUGGAUCACCU